rnacentral:tRNA from 1 species
GGCGACGUGGCCAAGUGGUAAGGCAGAGGUCUGCAAAACCUUUAUCACCGGUUCGAAUCCGGUCGUCGCCUUCA